GAAAGGAAGAGGAACCACCUUUCCCUGUCUUUGCCUUUCCUUUUACAACAUCAUUUUCAGAGUCAGUGAUUGGCAGCUAUUGGGAAGUGGAGAAAUGUAAAGACUAAAUAUUCUUCACUUUUCCUCAUCUCGUGGAUGCAGCAGCGUAGGGAGGAAACGAUACGCUUGGCCUAUUGAAACGCUUAGUUGCUCUGCGGCAUGUGGGAUCUUCCUGGAGUUGGGAUCGAACUCGUGACCUCUGCAUUGGUAGGCGGAUUCUUAACCACUGC